rnacentral:rRNA from 1 species
CCUACGGGCGGCAGCAGUGGGGAAUCUUGCGCAAUGGGCGAAAGCCUGACGCAGCCAUGCCGCGUGAAUGAUGAAGGUCUUAGGAUUGUAAAAUUCUUUCAGUAGGGACGAUAAUGACGGUACCUACAGAAGAAGCCCCGGCUAACUUCGUGCCAGCAGCCGCGGUAAUACGAAGGGGGCUAGCGUUGCUCGGAAUUACUGGGCGUAAAGGGAGCGUAGGCGGGUUAUCAAGUUGGAGGUGAAAGCCCAGGGCUCAACCUUGGAAUUGCCUUCAAAACUGAUAGCCUAGAGUAUGAUAGAGGUAUGUGGAACUCCGAGUGUAGAGGUGAAAUUCGUAGAUAUUCGGAAGAACACCAGUGGCGAAGGCGACAUACUGGGUCAUGACUGACGCUGAGGCUCGAAAGCGUGGGGAGCAAACAGGAUUAGAUACCCUGGUAGUCCACGCUGUAAACGAUGAUUGCUAGUUGUCGGACGCAUGCCGUUCGGUGACGCAGCUACGACAUAAGACAUACCGCCGUCGGGAGGUACGGUCGCGAAGAAGUUAAAACUAACGAAAGAAGUUAGACGGACGUAGAGACGUGCCGACGGACGACGACGAGGGAGGAGG